ensembl:lncRNA
AGAAGUUUGCCCAUGUCCAUAGUUACCUCUGAUGUCUAACUUUUGUAUACUUGUCUUGAGUUCUAGACUGUAGUAGAUAAACAGGAGUAGUUGUGUCGUUGUUAUCUCCUUGUUCGUGACCCCUUCUUAGUGAGCCUGUUCCCCUCAGUUCUUGGAGAAGAAUAACUUUAUCAGAUAAGGUAUCACUCGGUCAUGUCUGCCUCUUUGUGAUGCAAUGGACCAUCGCUCUCCAGGCUCCUCUGUCCAUGGAGUUCUCCAGGCAAGAUUUCUGAAUAGGUAGGCCUGACAAUGUGCACUUCUAACAAGUUUCCAAGGUGAUACUGAUGCUACUGGUCUGAGCAACCGCACUGAGAACCACGGAACUAACAACAUUCACGUAAGCCUGAACUUCCCUGCUGGAUAUGCCUAGAGAGUCCGCUACCACUGUGGGAAGAAACAGCCUGAGGAUUGGGGCUGGAUUCAGCCUCCUCUGAAGCUUAUGGAGGCAUCUACCAACAAGGAAGGCUGUGGAAAAGGUAAGAGGUAUCAGGGCAGCACUAUUGGUGGCUGUCAUAGGACUCAUCAGUGUAGAAGCUGUCCAUCAAAGUCCCAGAUCUAGCGAUGAUUAACCAGAGAGACAGUGAAGUAAAAUGAGCUGUGACCUGAGGACUGGACUGUAGUGCACACUGACACUUAAGGAAAGAGCAAAGGAAAG